rnacentral:tRNA from 1 species
GUGGAUGUAGCUCAGUUGGUAGAGUGCUUGCUUAGCAUGCAGGAAAUACUAGGUUUAAUUCUAGCAUCACA